AGAAAGAGGAAGGGGGAGGAGCGUACAAGCGAAGAGCGGAAUGGGGGGAGGAGAGAGCGGUGACGCGCAAGCGCCUGUAUCUCAAAAGCUGUAUGUCUUGCUAAGCUCUUGGUUCCCAACGUCGUAUAGUCCAAUUAGUACAAAUAGCGAGGGAUUGGGACAGGUUUUAGUGUAGGGGAAAAGAAGAUGUUUGCUGAGGGGGCUCCUUGGUCGGAAAAGGCACAUAACACACAUAACAUACUGUUUUCCCUCCUUUCACACUCUUAUUUUGGGUGGCUUCGCCUGUAAAUAGUGCAUAGCCCUGAUUUUAAACUUUACAGAGAUUUUAAAGGAGAAGCAAACCCAAAAGUUAAAAAACCCCUCCCCUACAUAGACCCCGCUCCCUCCAGCCUAAGUGUUACCCGGGCAAAUGCCCUUAACUCUUUACUUACCCCUCCGUGCAGAUUCAGGCUUUGGAGUUCACGGGCGACGUCUUCAGCUGCUUCAGUAAUCUUCAUAAUUUUCGCAAGUUUCGACGCAUGUACAGUUGUCGCUAAACAGAAAAUUGCUCAGGCGGUCUCAUUCCGAAGAUUACCGAAGAGAAGAAGAUGGCGCCCGUGAACUCCGCUGUACACAAUAUGCGCGGAGGGGACGCUGCAAUGAAGUGUUAAACCUUGUUCCCCUGGUGACUUGCAUUAAAUGGCGCAGCUUGACUUCACUCCAGCUUGGCUUAAUUUUCCUACACCUCCAUCCUCCUCUAAGUCAUUUCUGUAUACCGAGAAGUAUUCUGAAAGUUUAGGAAGGUCCGACUGUGCUUUCAAUGUAAACAGACAACGUCAUAAUUCCACAGAAGCCUUUGACUCUUCCACUGGUCGCCCUCUUGGUGGGAACCUUACAAGUAGAGAAAAAAAAUUUCCGGCGCCCCCAGAGCAGGACUGGAGCAGAACCCAUGUGGCAGCAUGAGGCCAGCCCCAUUUUUAUAGUAGCCACUUCCAGCGUAUGAAUAGCCAGCUGCACAGUGAGAGCGACACUUUUUUGACCUGACAAGAAAAGAGAAUUGUCAAGACUGGAAGAAGUUUGAAGCUAAAGAUUUUGAGAAACCUGGCGAAAAAUGAAGAUACUUUCUGUCUACAUUGGCACAGAUUCAUAAAUUUCUCAUUAACAGGAAGAGUGUAAAUCAAAAGAAAACCACAUUGUCAGCAGUUUUUAUCAAGACUGUCCUCAUGAAAAUUAUAUACCAAAUACAUGCAGAACUGCUGUCUGUGGCUUCAUGAAAGAGGAGGAGGAAACCAACUUGAACAACCAAAAUGACUCUGAAAGGGAUAUUAUAAAUCUGAAAUCUGUGAGGAUAAUAGGAACACCCUGAUUUCAAGACAGAUCUCUUCUGCUUAUACCCAAGACGAUAUCCUUUCUAGCUCACUUGAAGCAGAGCUCAGGAGAUUCCCUGUAAAACUUUGAGCUUUCCGUUUUUCCUUACGGCUGUUGAGAGAAAUGGGUUGGCAAGAGGAUAGUGAAAAUGAUGAGACCUGUGCUCCGCUAACAGAAGAUGAAAUGAGGGGAUUCCAAGCCAUCAGUGACCAGCUGCAAAAGAAUAGCUUCCGGGUAUUCCUGAGAAAUGCACUUGCUUUCGAUCUCUUCCAAGAAGUGGUUGAGAAAGAAAACUCCGAAACCAGCAGCAGCUACACCUCUGAUGAUGAGUAAAAUAUUUGUAAUUGUAGUGCAAACCGUCUCAUGACCUUUUCUACUACUAGCAAACUGGGAUCCCAUAAGCAUUCCCCUGAGCGGAAUAGUGUACUGAAUUCUUCACUUGCACCACCACAGGACAUUAUCCUGACAUGCACGCUCAUAAAAAAACAGUUGGUUGGCCAAGUGAAAGGAGCUUUCUCUCUGUUUAACACAGUUUCUGUUACAAAAUGUCUUGGAAACAAACAAAAAAGGCACUUUAUUUUCUUUUAUCUAGUUAUAUUUUCUAGCAGGCGCUGUAUUGGGCAACGGUUCCUUUGUGUUUUUGCCUGGUGUUUUUGGAAAUGUGACGGAUUUAAAAGUUCGAUUUGUUUUCAGUUUUCACAUAGACAUUCACAGUUAAUGUUUAAUGUGUGCUGCAAGCAAGAGGCCAGGUUUGUGGUUACGGGGUAAACUCCAUUCAAAAUAUACCUAUUUUGAUAUUUAA